CAGGGUCUCCUCGAAGAGGAUGACCCCGGAGAGGUAGUCGAACACGCCGGGCGCCGUAAAAAGCAACUCCCGGAGCGCCUGCCGGUUGGACUCCACGUUCUCGAGGUUGAUGCUGGAGAGGCGCUUACCGAUGGUGCCCGUCGACUCGUCGGAGGCCAGGAUGCCCUUGCCCGGCGUCGCGAGGUACUUGGCGGUCUUGACCAUCUCAUCUGCAAUACAAAAUUACAAAUACGUAGGCGUAAGCACAAAACGGUGUGUAUUGUGCUAUUGUGUAUACCACUAAUUAACUACAAAACUAUCAUUAAUUUCCUCCAUUACUCGAUCGAUCUACUAUAAUUUAUUUUUCAAAAUCAAUGUCUCUUUAAUCAAAGAUGGAACUGAAUUUUUCUUUCAACUUAAAAUUAUGUUUAAAACACAACAACUCAACAUGUAUUUUUGUAAAUUUUCUAAAAGAUAGCUCAUUUUUUGUUAAAAAGAUAGCUCAUUUUUUGUGUUAAAAAACGAAGCGUAGCGCCACUACACCGGAUGGUACAUGCUGCCUCAGUUUUUAUUUAUAUAAGGCCAGUCUCAACUCAAUGCAUAGUUUUAUGAAAGUUUCAUGAUUAUUAAAUUGUAUGCCAUAUCAGUAAUUUUACUUACUUGGCAAGACCAUAAUGAGGAGAGAGAAGGGAGAGUUUGAUCAGAUGUGAGAAGAAUUUCAUCCCUAUGACACUCAUCAAGCACAGUUACUAAGUUCUUAAUCUUGGUAACUAUGCAAUAAAACUAUGCGUUGAGAUUGGCCUAAGGUGCAUGCGCAUAUCAAAAUUCAAACUUUGCAACCUUUGACCAAUAACUUGACAUCAAUUUUUUAUUUUUAUAAUGUAAAUUUUAUAUGGUUGGAUUCAUAAUCAAAUAUACUCUACAAUGAUUAUAAAUUGAUAACUAUAAAUAAUAUAAUAUAUGAUAAAUGAAUUGUAUUUGGAAGAUCGUGCUAAGUCAUACCAUGCCUUAUAAACAUAGAUGGAUGGAGUACUGUUGAGCAAAUUUGAAAUUACUUUGCAAUUGCACUACUGGAACUGCACAAAGAUUUUUUUUAAAAAAAAAUAAAUACUACACAAUUACACAAACGUGCACAUCAACAACUUUGCACCUUUGCAAGGGUAUGGAAAAGUAGACUGAGAUAUAGGUCAACAAGAACCUGCAUAUUUUCCCACAAAGGCAGACAUGGCGACCCCGUCGGAUGGAAGAGGCUUCGUGUGAGGAGAAUCAAGGGAGCAGGAGCAAAAGCCAAACGCGUGUGGCCGGAGAGCCGAGCAUUUUCAGUGGCUGCCCUUUAUAAACCACCAACAGGGAGAGGUAUACCAAAUACCCACGACGAAUCCAUGAUUCAUGGCCUCAUGCACCCUUGGAAUCCCCAUCACCCGUUUCCGGAUAGGGGAGCAGCGGCACUGAGCCACCCAAAUACAAAUUCUGAAGGCCAAACCAAAUAAUGCUUUCCAUUUAAAUAAAGUAAACACUCACAAUUUCCUUUUCUUACAAAAGAAACAAUGAAAGAAACCAGACAAGUGGUGGUGAUGUGGACUUUAUCCCUGCAGGCUGAAUGUAAGGAUAGGAUCAGUUUUCUGAGAUGAAAGGAAGGUAUGAGAACGUGAAGCAUACAUGUAUUCGCUUUCUCCGCCAUGAGCACAAGUUGUUUUUUCUCGAACAACGCAAGAGAGCUGCGUGUCAACAGAACAAGAUAGAAAAGAGCGUACAACGAGUUCGGUUAAGGACCAAAACCCGAGUACAAAGAGUCAAAGACCCAUACCCACACACUCACAAGAAAGAGGAGUUUCCAUGUUUCCCAGAUUCUAUUAUUUGUUUAUUACUCUUAGUCUAUUGUUGGCUGUAACUUUUACUUCUUCAGUUAAGGUUGAAAUUCAGUACCCUUCGACAUUUUCUGCUUUUCUUCAGUCUAUUUGAUUGUCCAUCAGACAUUGCAUCCAGGCUCCUUACACCAUGCAGUUGGUGGAUAUGAACAGGGUAAAGAAGGGAAUAUAUCCUAUUUUCCAUUUACUUUCCUUUUGUGUUGAUUAGUUGCUUGAAAACUUUACAAAUGCUACUCAGAUAGGUAAACUUAAACAGUCAUUUGGUUGAGUUUUUUGAAGGCUCAUGUUCUGAUGCAGUUCGAGGUCAAAAGUUUGCAGAGUUAUUUCCCAGUUACCAAGAUCAAUGACUGACUUAUUAGGAUGAUAAAAAGUAUAUGGUCAAAGGGAUGAUAUGAU
rnacentral:lncRNA from 1 species